AGAGUGUGUUACAAAUUGUUAUGAACACUGAAAAUACAAAAAAGAACGUUGAUUUAAAUUGAACGGAUUAGAUAGUUUAGACAAUUGUUUAGUUAAGUUACCACGGCUUCCUCUGUUUCGAGCACAGCCGCCCUUUCCUAUGAUUAGACUGAUAAGAUUUAUUGUAGUUUACGCAUUUCCCUUUGAGUAAGAGUUUAGGAAUGAGGCACGUCCUACUUUAGGACACGUCCCACCUGCCUAUAAAUUAUAGUACCUAUUUAGCAAUCUUUAAGAGUUGAGCAGAGAAACCGAAGAGAGAAGAGUUGAGUUGAGAGCCAGAGAAGCAGAGUUAGAGAAGUCAGAGUGGAGUUUGAAGAGUUACAAGCUUACUUGGAGUUGUAUUUCUUUAAGCCCCGGAGACGAGAUCAGACGUAAGUUGAAUUUGUAAAUAUUGAUUUAGCCUUUUUGCGAUUUACAGAACUGCCUGUAGUCCCUUUUUAUCCUAAAUUUGUGAAUUGUUAAUUACUUCAUAGUUAUCACCGCAUGUGUUCGAUAGUUGGACGAGUUGAUUGUAAUAAACGCUGUUAAAUCAAGCUUGGAUGACCGUUCUACACUGUGGUUGACACUAAAACGAGCCCACUGCACACUUCCCACAAGUCGCUGCUUUGGAACCGCUUACAGUGAUAAGUCUGGUAGAAAACAACGUUGGAAGGUAGGCCCUUUCAAGUUUAUACCGAGAUGAGCGAGAGAGGAGAUCCCGAACGGCACGGCGCUGAGACAGGCCGAAUUACACGCCGAACCACAAAAAUGACGCAAAAAGCCCUUCAAAACGCGAUCGAGCGUAAAAGUAUCGAGAUUGACAGGUCUAAAAGAAGGCUCCUUAGCGUUAUCGAAACAUCUAAAAGUCUAAGCCAUGAUAGUAACUUAGAUAUAGUUUUGCACGACCUCACAACUGAGGUGCAUCAAUACGGGAUGAUUUUGCAACAGCUACUCGAGCUGCACGAACAAAAUACUAACGGUGAACACGGACACGAGGUCCAACUCACCGAGGAAAACGAAAUCCUAAAACUAGCCUUUAAAGAAAUAGAGAGACUUAAGUAUAUGAUAAGUGUUAAGCAAAGCGGUAAAGAGUUUGAUGCGAAAUCUGAGCGUUCGUAUCGAUCCUCGCGAUCGUCCAGUUCUAGAGCAAGUAGCGCCCGCAUAAAAGCUUUAGCAGAGGCGAGGGCCGCGCGCGAGGAAGCCGACUAUGCACGCAUUUUGGCCGAAAAACAAAAGGAACUCGCUAUUCUAACUGCAGACAAAAACGCAGCAGUAGCCAAAGCAAAACUCGAUGCGAUAGAACAAGCGAUAAACGAGGAGGAAUUUGGGGAAGGGCCCGCAGAAAAAGAGAACGCAGAGAACUUCACGGGACAGUGGGUCCAUUCCUCCCCCGCACUCGAAAGCGAUACGCCAAAUGUACGCAACGCCCUUGGGCCCAAAAACACGUCCGAACCACACACCCUGUCGUUAUUCCACCUCCCACGGUCAGAUAACGUACCAAAAGAAUCAACCCCCGCUUUGCCCUAUCGAGAGCACGUACAACCCCAAGACCGGAUGUUUACCAAUCACGGCCAUGACAAAGACGUCAAUUACCAUCCAGUCAUAUCAACACCUGAUAAUCCGUACAGAGACAUCACGCAAAGCCAACUAAUGGAUUCGCUAACGACGGUCAAUAACCAAAUAGUAACGAGCUUAGCCCGUCAACGUUUACCAAUUUCUGAGCCAGAUAUAUUUGACGGUGACGCCACGCUAUUCCAGCCCUGGAAAAGAGCCUUCAAAGCUAUGCUUUCUGAUGCGAUAGUUUCACCGACCCAAGAGAUCAACUAUCUAAGAAAAUUCACCAGCGGCCCCCCGCAAGCCCUGGUCGACAAUUACAGAAAGAGAUUGCGUGAUCCCGCAACGCUACUUGAGCAACUUUGGGUCGAAUUAGAGAAGCGUUUUGGCAGUCCAGCGAUGAUAAGCAACUCUCUCCUAGAACGGCUGAAAAACGCCGCCCGCUUUAGUGAAAACCAGCCAGAAAAACUGCAACAGUUUGCCGAUCUCUGCGCUGACGUCGAGAGCCAAGUCGCACAACUACCAGGCCUUGCCUGCCUUAAUUUUGCGAACGCGAUGCAGCCGGUAAUCGAUAAGCUACCAAAAUCUAUCUGCGCAAAAUGGGAGAAAGAGAUAGCGAAUUUCUCUGACGCUAACGGCGGCGUUUACCCUCCAUUUGAGCGUUUCGCGAAAAUAAUCCAAGGGCAGGCUAACAUUAAAAACAACGCCAAUGUUUUAGCCAGCAAGGCCACUACUACCGAAGUUACACCCUCCUCUGCGCACGCCCCCAGACCUCGCAGAGAGCAGAGAACGUUCAAAACUAACGCGCAGCCCCAAAGAAAAGGGAGGGAAGGACCCGAAAAUAAAAAGGUAAACCGAUGUCCCUAUCAUGAGAGAGACGGGCACACCCUAGCCGAAUGCAAAACGUUCGCAGCUAAAACCGUCAGUGAGCGCAAAAAGUGGCUAACUGACGCUACCCUAUGCUAUCGCUGCCUCGAUCCGUCACACUUUGCUCGCGACUGCCGCGCUCCUAUACAGUGCGCAACCUGCGGCGACUUACGUCACAACACAGUGCUGCAUAGAGACUCACCCCCUCCCAAGGACAACCCCGACCCCGAGAAGCCGGUCACCGCCAAAUGCACUGCACUCUGCGACCCCGUCGGAGGGACAUCCUGUAGCAAAAUGGUCCUAGUAGACGUCUAUAGCAUACACAAACCAUCUACCGCUCAGCGCAUUUACGCCAUUAUCGACGAACAGAGUAACACCUCACUUAUCACCAGCAAGCUCGCCGACGACCUUGGCGCCGAUGGCCCUAGAGAAGUCUACUACCUGUCGACAUGCAGCAACGAGAGAGAGGAAAAGAGUGGUAGACGAGUGACAGGCAUCGAGGCACGAUCAGUCAGCGGAGCUGCAUUUUCGCUGCCUACACUCGUUGAGUGCGACGUCAUCCCAGGGGACAAGCGCGAGAUCCCCACACCUGAGAUGGCGAGGAGCUUCAAGCACCUUAAACCAAUCGCCGACCAGAUACCCCCCCUAGACGAUACGGCAGAGGUUCACCUCUUGAUAGGUCGCGACGCGCCAGAACUACUGAAAGUGAGAGAGUUCAAAAACGGCCCCAGAGGAGCCCCGUGGGCACAGCGACUAGCCCUUGGAUGGACCAUCAGCGGCCAGAUGUGCCUCGACUUCGCGAACGGUCCCGCACACAUUCUGAACCGCCACACCCAUGUGUCCAACCGUGAGCGACAGGAGACCGGGGACGAGAACUACGAGAUAGUGCCGUGCCCCAACAUGCUCAAAGUCGAUAUCCCAAUUGACAGCGAUAACGUCUUCAAGACAACUCGAGACGACAACGAACCAAGUCUAUCUCGAGAAGACCGACAGUUCCUAGAGCUCAUGGAGAAAGGUACACGCAAAAAUUCAAGCGGUAAUUGGCAGAUGCCCCUACCCUUCCGCGUCCCAAACCAGACCAUGCCGAACAACCGUGCACAAGCGAUGCACCGAUUAAAAGGACUCUUCAAGACAUUCGAGAGAAAACCAGAGAUGAAACGAGAGUACCUUGAGUUCAUGGGAAAAAUCCUUGAAAAAGGACACGCCUCCCCCGUCACCCGCGACGAGCCCCCGCCAAAACCAGGCCAUUCCUGGUACCUAGCGCACUUCGCAACCUAUCAUAACACUAAACACACCAUAAGAGUAGUUUUUGAUAGCAGUUGCGAAUUUCAAGGAAUCUCACUGAAUAAAGUACUUCUACCUGGUCCAGACUUAAUGAAUAACCUCAUAGGCGUAUUGAUGCGUUUUCGAAAAGAAAACACCGGUGUCAUGUGCGACGUAGAACAAAUGUUUCACUCCUUUCAUGUCGAACCCUCUCACAGAGAUUUCCUCCGCUUCCUGUGGUUUGAAGAGAACAACCCAGAGAAACCGGUCACAGAGUACCGCAUGAACGUUCAUCUCUUUGGAAACGGCCCCAGUCCAGCGAUAGCCACAUACGGCCUCCGUAGAACUGCGUCGGAUGGCGAGGAGGAGUAUGGCGAGGAGUCAAAGAAUUUUAUCCGCCGCAACUUCUACGUCGAUGACGGACUGGCUUCGCUUCCAACAGCCCAACAAGCGAUAGAUCUGGUUAAAAAAGCACAAGCCACCCUAGCUACGGCCAACCUCAGACUCCACAAGGUUGUAUCCAACUCGGUAGAAGUCAUGGAAGCAUUCCCCGCUGAUGACAGAGCAAAGGACGUGCGUGACCUUGACCUGCGCCAAGACGUCCUUCCCGCCCAAAGAUCCCUUGGAGUGUACUGGGACCUAGAGACGGACGCGUUCACAUUUAAGGUGACAGUUCCAGAAAAGCCUUUCACGAGAAGAGGGGUCUUGUCUAUCGUAAACUCCGUAUACGACCCUCUAGGUCUAGCGGUACCCGUGAUGCUCGAGGGCAGGAAAAUGCUGCAAAAGCUAGUGCUUAUGGGUAAAAGAACAAGCAAAGACGACUCCCCCCUGGCAUGGGAUGACCCGCUCCCCACCGCGAUGAAAGACCGAUGGGCAAGAUGGAAAGACUCGCUCCCAGACCUCCAAAAUGUGUCGGUACCCCGCUGUCACCACCCAAAAAUGUUUGGCACUGUCUCCACGGCAGAACUACAUGCGUUCUCAGAUGCGAGUCAAGACGCGAUCGGGACCGCCGUUUACCUCCGACUCGUGAACGAAGCGAAAAAGGUAUCCGUCUCCCUAGUGUAUGGCCAAGCAAGAGUCGCACCAGCAAACUCAACCAGCAUACCACGCCUAGAGCUAUGUGGAGCAGUCCUAGCAGUACAAGCCGUACAAAAGGUAAUGAGGGAGAUCGACAUCGAGAUAUCCCAAGUCAAGUACUACACCGACUCGAAGGUGGUACUCGGUUACAUAACGAAUGAAAGCCGGCGCUUUUAUGUCUAUGUAGCCAACAGAGUUCAACAGAUAAGAAGCUUGUCUAACCCAGAGCAGUGGAGGUACGUGGAGACCGAGCUCAACCCCGCCGACCUAGCGACGCGAGGAGUACCCCCUAACAAACUAGGAGAAACCAGUUGGCUUAGUGGUCCCACAUUUCUCAAAAAUAUAGAAACCGCUGACACCCCGAGUGAAGCAUACUUACUCGACGCAAGCGACCCCGAGGUGCGCAAAGAAGUGAUUUGCGCCAAAGUCAGCACAGAUGAAGACACAAAGAAGCCGGGCCUUGGCGCACACCGAUUCUUGAGAUUCUCGACUCUGAAGUCCCUACAGCGCGGGAUCGCCACCCUAAUCGUGAAAGUUAAGAACUUCAAGAACAAAAGGGACACCAGAACCACUAGAGCCAACACGUUGAGCCAUCGUCUCAGGGUACAAGGCGAGCAACAGAAGCGCAGAGCCCCUACAGUAGAGGAAUUAGAUCAGGCCUUGCGAGUCAUUAUACGUACAACACAGAGAGAAGCAUUCAGCGCUGAACAGAAAGGCGCAAAUACAGACCCCGAAAACCCAAGAGAAACAAAGAAAAACGCGAAGAAAGCCCUCAGAGGAUCACCGCUAUACCGCCUCGACCCAUUCCUUGACAGUGACGGAAUUCUGCGCGUCGGCGGCCGGCUUAGAAGAGCUGAGAUGAGCUACGAACAGAAACACCCCGUCCUUCUACCCAGAAAGCACCAUGUCUCACAACUAGUCGCCCUCCACCAUCACGUCAAAGUGCACCACCAAGGCCGACUAAUCACAAGCGGCGCCACACGCCAAGCCGGGUUCUGGCUGAUUGGAGGCCACGCCACCGUCACAAAAGCCAUCAAAGACUGCGUGACCUGCAAGAAGCUGAGGGGACGCCCACUAGAGCAACGAAUGGCAGACCUGCCUCCCGACAGGACUGAAGUCUGCAGCCCGUUUACGAACGUCGGCUUCGACGUAUUUGGGCCUUGGUCGGUGAAGUCACGAAAGACAAGAGGAGCCAUAGCUAACGCGAAGCGCUGGGGACUAGUAUUCACGUGCCUCAGCAGUAGAGCGAUUCACAUAGAGGUACUCGAGUCCAUGGAUGCUAGCGCUUUUAUCUGCGCGCUUAGGAGGUUUUUCGCGCUGCGCGGCCCUGCUAAACUGCUUAGGUGUGAUUGCGGCACUAAUUUUGUAGGAGCUAAGACCGAACUCGAUAGCGCAAUGAAGGAGCUUAAUAAAGAGGAUGCAGAGAGAUUCGUCAGAGAGCAAGGAUGCGAGUGGAUCUUCAACCCCCCACACGCGUCGCAUUUCGGAGGUGUGUGGGAGAGACAGAUCCGCACAAUACGACGAGUCCUUGACGGCAUGUUCGCAGAGCUAGGAGACCACCAACUGACGCAUGAUUUGCUAGUAACGCUAAUGGCAGAGGUCGCUGCGAUCGUGAACGCCAGGCCAAUAUCAGCUGUACCGAUGGACACUGACCAGCCGCAGCCCCUCUCACCUGCGAUGCUUCUAAGCAUGAAAGAGCGCCCUACUGGACCCCCUCCAGGCCGUUUCUUGCCCACAGACAUCUACGCACGUCGCCGCUGGAGACGCGUCCAGUACCUGGCGGAGCAGUUCUGGUCGAGAUGGAGAAGGGAGUACCUCCAGAAUCUCCAGCCCCGCCAGAAGUGGAACGGAGCAACGGAGAGUCUGCGCGCAGGCGAUAUCAUACUACUAAGGGACGAGACGGAGCACCGCAACGACUGGCCACUAGGACGAGUAACAGAGGCGGUGAAGAGCGAGGACGGUAGAGUUAGGAAGGCGAAGGUAGAGGUAGUUAGAGACGGAGUCAAGAGGACCUACUUGCGCCCCAUCAAGGAACUCAUCCUGCUUAUCCGCGCCGAUGACGACAAAGAGAGCCAAGAGUAGGGUAGAAAAGAUUAGAAUAGCAAGGAUCGAAAUCCUUGGGCGAGGAGUGUUAUGAACACUGAAAAUACAAAAAAGAACGUUGAUUUAAAUUGAACGGAUUAGAUAGUUUAGACAAUUGUUUAGUUAAGUUACCACGGCUUCCUCUGUUUCGAGCACAGCCGCCCUUUCCUAUGAUUAGACUGAUAAGAUUUAUUGUAGUUUACGCAUUUCCCUUUGAGUAAGAGUUUAGGAAUGAGGCACGUCCUACUUUAGGACACGUCCCACCUGCCUAUAAAUUAUAGUACCUAUUUAGCAAUCUUUAAGAGUUGAGCAGAGAAACCGAAGAGAGAAGAGUUGAGUUGAGAGCCAGAGAAGCAGAGUUAGAGAAGUCAGAGUGGAGUUUGAAGAGUUACAAGCUUACUUGGAGUUGUAUUUCUUUAAGCCCCGGAGACGAGAUCAGACUUAUCACCGCAUGUGUUCGAUAGUUGGACGAGUUGAUUGUAAUAAACGCUGUUAAAUCAA